rnacentral:rRNA from 1 species
GGAAUAGACGGGGGCCCGCACAAGCGGUGGAGCAUGUGGUUUAAUUUGAAGCAACGCGAAGAACCUUACCAGGUCUUGACAUCCUCUGACAAUCCUAGAGAUAGGAGGGAGCUGACGGGGGCAGAGUGACAAAUGGUGCAUGGUUGUCGUCAGCUCGUGUCGUGAGAUGUUGGGUUAAGUCCCGCAACGAGCGCAACCCUUGAUCUUAGUUGCCAGCAUUCAGUUGGGCACUCUAAGGUGACUGCCGGUGACAAACCGGAGGAAGGUGGGGAUGACGUCAAAUCAUCAUGCCCCUUAUGACCUGGGCUACACACGUGCUACAAUGGACAGAACAAAGGGCAGCGAAACCGCGAGGUUAAGCCAAUCCCACAAAUCUGUUCUCAGUUCGGAUCGCAGUCUGCAACUCGACUGCGUGAAGCUGGAAUCGCUAGUAAUCGCGGAUCAGCAUGCCGCGGUGAAUACGUUCCCGGGCCUUGUACACACCGCCCGUCACACCACGAGAGUUUGUAACACCCGAAGUCGGUGAGGUAACCUUUUAGGAGCCAGCCGCCGAAGGUGGGACAG